UGAGGAAUAUUGGGCAAUGCCCGCAAGGGUGACCCAGCAACGCCGCGUGGAGGAUGAAUGUCGUAAGAUUGUAAACUCCUGUUAGAGGGGAAGAAUAGUACCGGUUGGACCGGUAUAUGACUGUACCCUCAGAGAAAGCCCCGGCUAACUACGUGCCAGCAGCCGCGGUAAUACGUAGGGGGCAAGCGUUGUCCGGAUUUACUGGGUGUAAAGGGCGCGCAGGCAGGAUAAAAAGUCAGUGGUGAAAUCCUACAGCUUAACUGUAGAACUGCCUUUGAUACUUUUAUUCUUGAGUUCGGGAGAGAGAGACGGAAUUCCAGGUGUAGUGGUGAAAUACGUAGAUAUCUGGAAGAACACCAGUUGCGAAGGCGGUCUCUUGGUCCGACACUGACGCUGAGGCGCGAAAGCGUGGGGAGCAAAC
rnacentral:rRNA from 1 species